rnacentral:rRNA from 1 species
AGCGAACGCUGGCGGCAGGCUUAACACAUGCAAGUCGAACGGUCCUUCGGGAUAGUGGCGGACGGGUGAGUAACACGUGGGAACGUACCCUUAGGUUCGGAACAACACAGGGAAACUUGUGCUAAUACCGGAUAAGCCCUUCGGGGGAAAGAUUUACCGCCUUUGGAGCGGCCCGCGUCUGAUUAGCUUGUUGGUGAGGUAAUGGCUCACCAAGGCUACGAUCAGUAGAUGGUCUGAGAGGAUGGCCAGCCACACUGGGACUGAGACACGGCCCAGACUCCUACGAGAGGCAGCAGUGGGGAAUCUUGCGCAAUGGGCGAAAGCCUGACGCAGCCAUGCCGCGUGGAUGAUGAAGGUCUUAGGAUUGUAAAAUCCUUUCACCGGGGACGAUAAUGACGGUACCCGGAGAAGAAGCCCCGGCUAACUUCGUGCCAGCAGCCGCAGUAA